rnacentral:rRNA from 1 species
CACGAAUCCAGACCCUACGGGGUGCAGCAGGCGCGAAAACUUGGCAAUGCGAGAAAUCGUGACCAGGGAACUCCAAGUGCAUGGGGUAAGACCCAUGCUUUUCUUGACUCUAAAUAGGUCUUGGAAUAAGGGGUGGGUAAGGACGGUGCCAGCCGCCGCGGUAAUACCGGCGCCUCAAGUGGUAGUCGCUUUUAUUGGGCCUAAAACGUCCGUAGCCGGUCUGAUACAUUCGUGGGUAAAUCAACCAGCUUAACUGGUUGAAUUCUGCGAGGACGGUCAGACUUGGGACCGGGAGAGGUGUGGGGUACGCUCAGGGUAGGGGUAAAAUCCUGUCAUCCUGAGCGGACCACCUGUUGCGAAGGCGCCACACUAGAACGGAUCCGACGGUCAGGGACGAAGCCUAGGGGCACGAACCGGAUUAGAUACCCGGGUAGUCCUAGGUGUAAACGCUGUGGACUUGAUGUUGGGGGUGCUCCGAGCACUCUCAGUGUCGAAGCGAAGGUGAUAAGUCCACUGCCUGGGAAGUACGGUCGCAAGGCUGAAACUUAAAGGAAUUGGCGGGGGAGCACCGCAACCUGAGGAUUGUGCGGUUUAAUUGGAUUCAACGCCGGAAAACUCACCAUAGCCGACGGACAAAUGAAGGUCAGUGUAAUGAACUUACCGGAUUGUUCGAGAGGUAGUGCAUGGCCGCCGUCAGUUCGUACCGCAAGGCGUUCUGUUAAGUCAGAUAACGAACGAGACCCUCAUCUCUAUUUGCUAACUGGAUCUCCGGAUUUAGUGCACUAUAGAGAGACCGCUGGCGCUAAGUCAGAGGAAGGGGAGGGCAACGGUAGGUCAGUAUGCUCCGAAUGCUAUGGGCUACACGCGCAAUACAAAGGACGGGACAAUGGGCUGCUGCUCCGAAAGGAACGAUAGCUAUCCCGAAACCCGUUCGUAGUUCGGAUUGAGGGCUGUAACUCGCCCUCAUGAAGCUG